rnacentral:lncRNA from 1 species
CCCUACCAAAGCUUGGAUUAUGUCAUUAAGGAAGAUGAGCAGAAUGGAUAUUGAGCAGACAACUCUGACUAACCCUAUGAGCAAGGGAUCUAGCCAGUCAUGAGAAGAACCCAUUUUCAUGGGUGCCUGUGAUUUGUUUGAUGUUUAUUAAGUGUGCACAGAACAUCUGGCUGUUUUUCCAAGACUUUUGAAUGGAGACCAUCUGCCCAUCUUUCACUGCCUAUUUUAAGGCUUAUUGGCCAUAUCAUGAGCCAUUAGUAUAAAGGCCUGGGGAUGUUAACAACCAUCUUUCUCACCACCUGGAAAGAGC